UUGCAAUGAUGAAUGCUAGGAAGUUGAGAAAGUUUAUACUAAGUCUACUUGAUGAAAGACAAUCCUGAGCGGUUACCUGAGCAA